AGAUUCUUUAGCUUUAUCAAGGAAAAGGGAGAGAAAGCAUUCAUCGCUGUCCAAUCUAACGGGGACAUUGAGUAAAUAAUGACGAGCAUAUAUUCUCUACGACUGGGGUAGACACAACACAAGAAAACAGACUGUAGCCACAGCCAGAGGGGACACGGGUGUGGGUACCAGAAUUCUCUUAGGAGGCCUGUAGAACAGGGAUGGUCUUGUUCCAAUACGGCCGUGCAACCCCGAACCUCACCGUGUUCCCACUGCCUUGGGCACAGCCAGACACCUUGACCUAACACACCCACACUGCAGUCUGGCCUGGUGUGGAGGAGACAGACCAGCCGACAGCUUGACCGCAACCUCGAGAGAGACCACAAGCUGGAACAAGCCGGAUCUGCCGUUGCUGAAUUGCUGACCUACAGGAUAGUAACGCUUAUCGUUGUCGUAAGCUGCUAAGUUUCGGCUGAUCCGUUACACAGUAAUCAAUAACCCACACAACCACCCACAGAGCAGAAGGGGAGGAAUGAUUUGGGCAAGGGAGCAGUUGAGCCACGAGAACUCUGCUGACCCUGGGAGAGCUUCUGGAGCUGGGACGACUCUCUGGUCACAGUUACUCUUUAUUUAAACUAUAGCAAUUUAAAUUUUUUGCCCUACUGAUCAUCCCAUAUCAGUAGUAUACAAAUGGCUUCCUUAUUCUUUUCCACAGCUAUACAGUACUCCACUGCGUGGAGGAAGGUGUCAUUAUUUACGCAAUCUCCUGUUGAGGGACAUUUAGAUGAUCGUGAUGUCUCCAAACAUGCUUCAGGGCGCCUGGGUGUGUGAUCCUGCUGUGCCCCAGGGCAGGGAAGCACGGAGCAAAGGCCCGGAACUGGCCCUGCUGACACCAGCCUUCCCGCUCCUGGGCUAGCUCUGCUGGAGGAGACACCUGCUCCUCAGGCUUCAUGCGCCGCCCCCUCGGGGCUCCCACCCACGUGCUGGGACCUCCCCCUGCUGGGAACUGCCUGGAGACCCCCCUGCACGCGUCACACAGGGGCACUUCAUGUGAGCUCACAGAAAAUGCCUCAACACCUUAUGGUGAGUCACAUAAAGACAUUCAAAGAGAACUGUCUCGACAAGUCCCCCGCUGUGUCCUGCACAGACUUCCAGGCCAGAGGGAAGUUCUCAAGCACCUAGCAUGUUUACCGUUUGCAACCUUGGACAAAGAGAUAGACAGUUCCUGGCAGCGUGAAUCCUGGUCGGACAUACGCUUUGCCACCUGCAUGAGCACACGUGUUGCCAUCGCCCACCCACCCACAUGGAAGACACAGGGCUCGCCUACCAUUCACAGACAAGUCCCAGGAAAGAGGGUUUAG
rnacentral:lncRNA from 1 species